AACGAACGCUGGCGGCAGGCCUAACACAUGCAAGUCGAACGAACCUUCGGGUGAGUGGCGCACGGGUGCGUAACACGUGGGAAUAUACAUUUCGGUAAGGAAUAACGUAGAGAAAUUUACGCUAAUACCUUAUAAUGACUCCGGUCCAAAGAUUUAUCGCCGAAAGAUUAGCCCGCGCUAGAUUAGGUAGUUGGUGAGGUAAAGGCUCACCAAGCCCACGAUCUAUAGCUGGUCUGAGAGGAUGAUCAGCCACACUGGAACUGAGACACGGUCCAGACUCCUACGGGAGGCAGCAGUGAGGAAUAUUGCGCAAUGGAGGAAACUCUGACGCAGCCAUGCCGCGUGAGUGAAGAAGGCCUUAGGGUUGUAAAGCUCUUUCAGAUGCGAAGAUAAUGACGGUAACAUCAGAAGAAGCCCCGGCUAAAUUCG
rnacentral:rRNA from 1 species